AGGGUUUGAUCAUGGCUCAGAAUCAACGCUGGCGGCGUGCCUCAGACAUGCAAGUCGAACGAUUAAGACUUCCUUCGGGAAGUGUAUAAAGUGGCGCACGGGUGAGUAACACGUAAGUAAUCUACCUUCGAGUGGGGAGUAACGUUCGGAAACGAACGCUAAUACCGCAUAAUGCAGCGGCAUCGCAAGAUGACAGUUGUUAAAGGAAUUUAUUUCGCUUGAAGAGGAGCUUGCGGCAGAUUAGCUAGUUGGUAAGGUAACGGCUUACCAAGGCUACGAUCUGUAUCCGGUCUAAGAGGACGGUCGGACACACUGACACUGAAUAACGGGUCAGACUCCUACGGGAGGCAGCAGUCGGGAAUUUUGGGCAAUGGGCGAAAGCCUGACCCAGCAACGCCGCGUGAAGGAUGAAGUAUUUCGGUAUGUAAACUUCGAAAGAAUGGGAAGAAUAAAUGACGGUACCAUUUAUAAGCUCCGGCUAACUACGUGCCAGCAGCCGCGGUAAUACGUAGGGAGCAAGCGUUGUUCGGAUUUACUGGGCGUAAAGGGCGCGUAGGCGGCGCGGUAAGUCACUUGUGAAAUCUCUGAGCUUAACUCAGAACGGCCAAGUGAUACUGCAGUGCUAGAGUGUAGAAGGGGCAAUCGGAAUUCUUGGUGUAGCGGUGAAAUGCGUAGAUAUCAAGAGGAACACCUGAGGUGAAGACGGGUUGCUGGUCUAACACUGACGCUGAGGCGCGAAAGCCAGGGGAGCAAACGGGAUUAGAUACCCCGGUAGUCCUGGCCCUAAACGAUGAAUACUUGGUGUCCGGGGUUUCAAGACCCUGGGUGCCGUCGCUAACGUUUUAAGUAUUCCGCCUGGGGAGUACGCUCGCAAGAGUGAAACUCAAAGGAAUUGACAGGGACCCGCACAAGCGGUG
rnacentral:rRNA from 1 species